rnacentral:rRNA from 1 species
AUUGAACGCUGGCGGCAGGCCUAACACAUGCAAGUCGAGCGAGCGUCGGACGGGUGAGUAAUGUAUGUGGAUCUGCCCGAUAGAGUGGGAUAACUACUGGAAACGGUAGCUAAUACCGCAUACUAUCGUCUGAACCCCUAUGGGAUUAGCUCUUUGGUGAGGUAAAGGCUCACCAAGCCGACGAUCUCUAGCUGGGCUGAGAGUAUGACCAGCCACACUGGGACUGAGACACGGCCCAGACUCCUACGGGAGGCAGCAGUGGGGAAUAUUGCGCAAUGGGGGCAAACCUGACGCAGCCAUGCCGCGUGAAUGAAGAAGGCCGUCGGGUUGUAAAGUUCUUUCGGUAGCGAGGCGUUAACGAAAGAAGAAGCACCGGCUAACUCCGUGCCAGCAGCCGCGGUAAUAC